UUGCAGGAAACAAAAUCAAUACACGAAAUUUAUUGUGUUUCCAUACACUAACAACAGACUGUCAGAAAGAGUUUAGUAAACAACCCCAUUUACAAUUGCAUCAAAAAGAAUAAAAUACCUAGGAAUAAAUUUAAUCAAGGGGGCAAAAGAUCUGUACACAGAAAACUGUAAGGCAUUGAUGAAUGAACUCAGACACAAAUAAAUGUAAAGAUAUCCCAUGCUCAUAGAUUUAAACGAUAAAUAAUAAAGUGUCCAUGCUACCCAAAGCAAUCUACAGAUUCAAUGCAACCCCUAUCAAAAUUCCAACGGCAUUUUCCACAGAACUAUAACAAACCUAAAAUUUAUAUGAAAUCAUAAAAG